rnacentral:tRNA from 1 species
GUCGGUGUAGCUCAGCUGGACAGAGCAGAAGAUUUCUAAUCUUCCGGUCGCGGGUUCGAAUCCCUCCAUCGACU